AGGAAUUUAAAUAUAAUAGCCGCUAACUAAUUAUUAAUAUGGUUUAAAUCCAUAUAAUUCCUA
rnacentral:tRNA from 1 species